rnacentral:rRNA from 1 species
CAGGAGCUGUAGUGAGAAGUCUGAUCAGCAAUGCCCGUGAGGGAUGAAGGCUCUUGGGUUGUAAACUCUUUCACUUUGGAAGAAAAUAUCUGACCGUACUUAAGGUGGGCCGGCUCUGUUCACUCCAUCCCCGCCGCUACUAUAAUACUGG